UAGCUCAGCUGGGAGAGCGCCUGCCUUGCACGCAGGAGGUCUGCGGUUCGAUCCCG
rnacentral:tRNA from 1 species